AUUGAACGCUGGCGGCAGGCCUAACACAUGCAAGUCGAGCGGUAACACAGGGAGCUUGCUCCCGGGUGACGAGCGGCGGACGGGUGAGUAAUGUCUGGGAAACUGCCUGAUGGAGGGGGAUAACUACUGGAAACGGUAGCUAAUACCGCAUAACGUGGCAAGACCAAAGAGGGGGACCUUCGGGCCUCUUGCCAUCAGAUGUGCCCAGAUGGGAUUAGCUAGUAGGUGGGGUAAUGGCUCACCUAGGCGACGAUCCCUAGCUGGUCUGCGAGGAUGACCAGCCACACGUGAACUGAGACACGGUCCAGGCUCCUGCGGGAGGCAGCAGUUGGGAAUAUUGCACAAUGGGCGCAAGCCUGAUGCAGCCAUGCCGCGUGUAUGAAGAAGGCCUUCGGGUUGUAAAGUACUUUCAGCGGGGAGGAAGGUGCUGCGGUUAAUAACCUGAGCAAUUGACGUUACCCGCAGAAGAAGCACCGGCUAACUCCGUGCCAGCAGCCGCGGUAA
rnacentral:rRNA from 1 species